UAAAAUCCUUUUGCCUCUCUCUCAGCUUUCACCUAACAGCCAAAGUCAAAGCUUUUGUUUUCUUCUCUCCUCAAUCCGUCUCUCUCUAGUCUUCACACAUCAAAGCAAGUAAAGUCCUAAUCCCUCAAAAUUUCCUUAGAAAUCAUAUAACAUAAUCAUCCUUUAACUUGUUGAGCAAUUGAAUCUCCAAAUGACUUGAGUUUGACAAAAGAAAUUGAUGGGUCCCAAAAACUGGUUUCAUGAAGGUAAUUCAUAAUUUUUGCUUUUGGGUUUUUAAAUUUUUGUUAUAAUUGUUCUUUUGUUUCCAAUUUCUCUCCUAAAAUUAUUGAUAUCAUUAAUUUUUAACUUUUGUGUUGAAUUGUGAAUUUGGAUUUUUUAGAAAAUUAAUUGAAGAUAACCUUUUUUUUUUUUUUGGUUGGAUUUGAGAUGAUAAAAUAAUGCCUCCCAAUUGAAGAAGACCCAACUCCUACACGGCUGCACCUCUAGCUUUUGGCCAACCGCACACUGACUCAGUUUUGUAACCUCACCAAAAACAGAGGUUUGUGUUUUGCCAUUUUCUUCCAAUUGAAGAAGACCCAACUCCUACACGGCUGCACCUCUAGCUUUUGGCCAACCGCACACUGACCCAGUUUUGUAACCUCACCAAAAACAGAGGUUUGUGUUUUGCCAUUUUCUU
rnacentral:lncRNA from 1 species